CGAAAAGGCAGUGAGAGAGCUCUUGUGGACACUCGUGAUCGCCGAGUAAGGUUUCUAUAACACAAAACAAUGAAAUAAUAUAAUAUUUCUUCAUUGUGUUUUAUCUAGAAUACCAUAUACCACAGAGACCAGCAUCGGCAAAAUCACUUACAUUUAAAGUGGACAUCGUUCCCUGGCUGGACUUGAACGUCUUCAAAACGUGAACUGCGCUGGACAAGGUCGUCAAAUAAUAUCCCCCUUCACCAGUGAGAAGAGAGGGAUGAAGCAAACCCCACAUGUACUCAGCUUCCACCUCAGCGUCCACAACCUUGCCACGAACCAAUACCCAAACUAGAAGGGGAAGAAGAUCGUCUGCGCCCAGCGUUACGUGUCUGCCAGAAUUUGCGUGCUUUACCUGAAAAAUUAUUAUAAUUAAUAACGUUUAAAUCUUAUCUCUUCUUAUCUCGAAUAAGAAGCUUUACACGAGAUAAGAGAUUGCAAUGCGGCUUACGGAGUUGAAAAUCGCUGAAAUGGCUGCUAGAAGAUUUUCCAACUUGUCUAGAGGCGAAUCCGCUUUCUGAAGCCGAUCAAUGUAUUUGAGGAUCCGCUCUAAACUUGACUCCGAUGGGGGUAUAAUCUUUGGCUAUAAACGAUCAAUAAAUAAAAUGUUAUAAAUUUUAUCGCAUUUUAAGAUUAAAUUAAACUCUUCUUAUAAAUUGUUCUAGCUUACGAUAGAGUUAUUUAAAAAAAAAAAAAUUAAGAAAACACCAAAUUACUACAUUAUAGACAAGUAAGAGUAGUUAGAGGAUCAUUAUUGUUCAACGCUAAAAUCAAAGCCUACUUUUAUUCUCUUAUAAAAUGAAUAAAACGAGUAAAAAUAAAUAAAA